CGGCAGCACAGUAAGAGCUUGCUCUUAUGGGUGGCGAGUGGCGGACGGGUGAGGAAUACAUCGGAAUCUACCUUUUCGUGGGGGAUAACGUAGGGAAACUUACGCUAAUACCGCAUACGACCUUCGGGUGAAAGCAGGGGACCUUCGGGCCUUGCGCGGAUAGAUGAGCCGAUGUCGGAUUAGCUAGUUGGCGGGGUAAAGGCCCACCAAGGCGAC
rnacentral:rRNA from 1 species